rnacentral:tRNA from 1 species
GUCUCUGUGGCGCAAUGGAUUAGCGCGCAGGACUUCUAAUCCAGAGGUUCCGGCUUCGAGUCCCGGCAGGGAUG